ACGGGAGGCAGCAGUGGGGAAUAUUGGGCAAUGGGCGAAAGCCUGAUGCAGCAACGCCGCGUGAGGGAUGACGGUCUUCGGAUUGUAAACCUCUGUCUUCAGUGAUGAAUUUUGACAUUAGCUGAGGAGGAAGCCACGGCUAACUACGUGCCAGCAGCCGCGGUAAUACGUAGGUGGCAAGCGUUGUCCGGAUUUACUGGGUGUAAAGGGAGCGCAGGCGGGAGAGCAAGUCAGUGGUGAAAUGUAUGGGCUUAACCCAUGAACUGCCAUUGAAACUGUUUUUCGUGAGUGAAGUAGAGGCAAGCGGAAUUCCGAGUGUAGCGGUGAAAUGCGUAGAUAUUCGGAGGAACACCAGUGGCGAAGGCGGCUUGCUGGGCUUUUACUGACGCUGAGGCUCGAAAGUUUGGGGAGCAAACAGGAUUAGAUACCCUGGUA
rnacentral:rRNA from 1 species